AGUGUUCGGUCUCCAGU
rnacentral:miRNA from 1 species